UGUGGCUGUGGCUCAGUGGUAGUGCACUUGCCUGGCAUGUGUGAGGCACUGAGUUCCAUUCUCAGCACCACAA
rnacentral:tRNA from 1 species